AUUAUAUUUGGCUCUUUGUAUUGCUUUUGCUUGAUUAAUUGUGCGCAUAUUGAAUUCUACCCUUUUGGGGGAAAUCCACAGUGAUGAUGUGAGCCCUAAAAUGUAAAAUGCCACAGAGUAGAAAUCUUAAGCCUGACAUUGUUCUGCUUCCAGUCUCCUCAAGGUGUGGUGACCCAUAGACCCAGUGACUACACUAGAAGAACUCAGUCUGUUCUUAUCAGAGAUGACUUUCUAUCCUAGCAGCAGGUGAAUCUGAAGAGAAGACCACCAGCAGAUGACAGAACUGAGAGUCAGAGGAGACACACCACUUGCCUAAAGUCACAUAGUUGCUUAAUUCUGCACACUCCAUUGCUAAACUAGGAUGGUAGUCCUUUGAAUGGAGGGGAAGUGGACCUAUAUGAAAUAUACUGAGGAGCAGAAUCAACAAGAUACAACAAUAAGUCUCUUCCUUCUUGCCUCUCUUUUCUUUUUUCC